CAAGGUAGAGCAUGAAAUUCAAUGCAUCCCACUUACAAUGGGGGAAUAGAUAUUUUCUUGCCUUGA
rnacentral:tRNA from 1 species